ACCACAAAUUGUUCUUCAGCCCAACACACAUCACCAGACUACUGAAGAGAGACAUUUGGAUCAAGUCUGUGGUAAGACGAGAUUAUUACGAGCCAGGAGGAAUCACUGAUAACACCACCAGGAUGAGUUACCUGACCUCUGACCCUAACCAGACAGAGAACAUUGACACCAUUAUCCGACCCCCUUACUUCUUCAUCAGUGGUUUCAUCGACAUCCCCCACAUGGAGUACUAUUACAUCUUCCUCUGCUUCGUAUACAUCAUCUCUCUGGUGGGCAACACCUUCGUCAUGAUGGUUAUCUACAUGGACAACAGUCUCCACAG